rnacentral:rRNA from 1 species
AGCGAACGCUGGCGGCAGGCCUAACACAUGCAAGUCGAACGGACCCUUCGGGGUUAGUGGCGGACGGGUGAGUAACACGUGGGAACGUGCCUUUAGGUUCGGAAUAGCUCCUGGAAACGGGUGGUAAUGCCGAAUGUGCCCUUCGGGGGACAGAUUUAUCGCCUUUAGAGCGGCCCGCGUCUGAUUAGCUAGUUGGUGAGGUAAAGGCUCACCAAGGCGACGAUCAGUAGCUGGUCUGAGAGGAUGUCCAGCCACAUUGGGACUGAGACACGGCCCAAACUCCUACGGGAGGCAGCAGUGGGGAAUCUUGCGCAAUGGGCGAAAGCCUGACGCAGCCAUGCCGCGUGAAUGAUGAAGGUCUUAGGAUUGUAAAAUUCUUUCACCGGGGACGAUAAUGACGGUACCCGGAGAAGAAGCCCCGGCUAACUUCGUGCCAGCCGCCGCCGUAAAAC